UACGUCCAUAUCACAUUAAAACAUUGGUUCCCAUACAAUCACCAAAGUUAAGCAACAUCAAAGCUGGUCAGUACUUGGAUGGGUGACUGCUUGGGAAUACCAGGUUCUGUAA
rnacentral:rRNA from 1 species